rnacentral:rRNA from 1 species
GACAACGCUGACGGCGUGCUUAACACAUGCAAGUCGAACGAAGAGCGAUGGAAGCUUGCUUCUAUCAAUCUUAGUGGCGAACGGGUGAGUAACGCGUAAUCAACCUGCCCUUCAGAGGGGGACAACAGUUGGAAACGACUGCUAAUACCGCAUACGAUCCAACCUCGGCAUCGAGGAUGGAUGAAAGGUGGCCUCUAUUUAUAAGCUAUCACUGAAGGAGGGGAUUGCGUCUGAUUAGCUAGUUGGAGGGGUAACGGCCCACCAAGGCAAUGAUCAGUAGCCGGUCUGAGAGGAUGAACGGCCACAUUGGGACUGAGACACGGCCCAGACUCCUACGGGAGGCAGCAGUGGGGAAUCUUCCGCAAUGGACGAAAGUCUGACGGAGCAACGCCGCGUGAGUGAUGACGGCCUUCGGGUUGUAAAGCUCUGUUAAUCGGGACGAAGGGCCUUCUUGCGAAUAGUUAGAAGGAUUGACGGUACCGGAAUAGAAAGCCACGGCUA